rnacentral:pre_miRNA from 1 species
GGAAGACACCUGGCGCAUCGGACUCGGGGCGUUACAAAACUAGCUAAUUGUAACGCCCCGAGACCGAUGCGCCAGGUGUCUUCC